GGCCGCGGGAAUUCGAUUCAGGCCUAACACAUGCAAGUCGAACGAUUCUCUUUGGAGAAGAACGGCGGACGGGUGAGUAACGCGUGGGUAACCUGCCCUAUACACACGGAUAACGUACCGAAAGGUACGCUAAUACGAGAUAAUAUAUUUUUAUCGCAUGGUAAAAAUAUCAAAGCUCUGGCGGUAUAGGAUGGACCCGCGUCUGAUUAGCUAGUUGGUAAGGUAAUGGCUUACCAAGGCGACGAUCAGUAGCCGACCUGAGAGGGUGAUCGGCCACAUUGGAACUGAGACACGGUCCAAACUCCUACGGGAGGCAGCAGUGGGGAA
rnacentral:rRNA from 1 species